rnacentral:lncRNA from 1 species
GCUGUUUUACAUCCAUCAGAGCCCUGCUACAUACCAAAGAAAAGAUUCAUUUUUGACAAUAGUUGUCAGCAGUAAGAGCUGCAGAACUGGUGCUAACACAGCCUCGCCUCGCUCCAAGCACAAAGACAAACUGUGUUCAGCAUCGUUUCAGGAAGCAAGGUUUUCAUCGGGCUGGCCCAAGCAGGUUUUAUGAGCCUCCCUCAAGUCCAUCUGGGUGCAAGGGGGGAGCAUAAGUGCUUUUUGGAGAGUUGCUUCACUUCACAGUUUCUGAAGGCUUAUGCUAAAUCACAGCCUGAACACUCAAAACCAACAGCUUGAUGGCUUUGCCUCUCAUCUCGUAGUGAAAUGAUGGGUGCUGAGGUGAGAAGGCACCGCCGGGAGAGACCUGGGUAGGCACCGGUGUGCACGGAAGGAAACAGAAAGACUCUAGCUUGGAUUAGCAGUGUCUGCCUGCCUCCAAGGUGGGUUUCUCAAGGCUGAGAGCACCGGGGUAUCUCUACAGGCUGAUGCUUCUCUGGAAGGCCUUGAAUGUGAAGGUGCUUUGUCAUGGGAACUGUGCCAUAUAUGGGCUAAGCAAAGCUAUUUGCAAAACUCUAGUCAAAUGCAGCAGGUCAUUCCAGCUGGGUAAAACACCCAGCAUUUGUGGGAAUAGGUCUUCAGUCAUUUCUGGCUUAUUGAAAACAGUUCUUUUUUUUUUUUUUUUUUUCUUUUUUUCUGAAGCACUGUUUUGUUCAGACAUUUUGCUGGAUGACAUUUUUAAACUGCAAAAUCUGGAACCAAAAGUAAAAACAAAACCAAAAUGAUCUUUUGGGUUGGGCAGUCUUGUGUCGAUCGUGAAAAAGGGUUUUGGAAAUAAUUGUUUUUGCUUUGGCAAAAGAACCUGACAAUAUUUUUAGUUACGGGUUGUCCUGAGAGUGUUUUUUCCCUGUUUCUUUGUUGUUGCUCAGUCUUUGAGGAGCCCUCCAACAUUCCUGCCAGCUGAGAUGUUGGGGAUUUGUCACUCAGAGGGGAACACACCUGGGCCCAGCAAGACCAACUGGGUGCAGAAUGAGGGCAGGACUGGCUCUGACAGCAGAUUCCUGGUGACACAGUUGAGAGUAGAUGUGGAUGGACAUCUUUUACCCCCUGCUUAUGUGAGCAAAGAGAUUUCCGUGCCUCUCUCUGCCUGGCCUUCAGCACCAAAUGGACUUGCCAGUGAAAGAAGAGUGUGGUGGCUUUCAGAUCAAAUCAUCUUUGCCAGCCAAAGCAGUGUCUUCUUCCCUGCUUCUAAGAGGCAUGAGCUUAAUCAACGAGUCUCGGAGUGGGGUGUAUCUACAGUCGUAGCUGUGAAGAGAGGUGAUUAUUCCUCCCUAAUAAUUCAGUUUCGCAUAAGGAAAUUAUCACACACACAGGGGCGUGCACCUUCCUCUGUUCUGUCAACAUGCGCUGCUAGAAAGAUUUAUUCCAGUAAUAAGGUCUUUGCAGUGAAACUUAACAAAAACGAGGGGGCAAGUUUAUUAAUUAUAUAUUUUACAGUUAAUGAAACAUAA